UACGGAGGGUGCGAGCGUUGUCCGGAAUCACUGGGCGUAAAGGGCGCGUAGGUGGCGCGACAAGUCAACGGUGAAAGCUCGGCGCUCAACGCCGAGUCGGCCGUCGAUACUGUUGGGCUUGAGCACUGUAGAGGCUAAUGGAAUUCCGGGUGUAGCGGUGGAAUGCGUAGAGAUCCGGAAGAACACCGGUGGCGAAGGCGGUUAGCUGGGCAGUUGCUGACACUGAGGCGCGGACAGCGUGGGGAGCAAACAGGG
rnacentral:rRNA from 1 species